CAGACAUUGGCAUAUACUAUCUAAUUGUCACCCAAAUAUUGUCGAAUUUAAAAAAUAAACCAUUAAUGGUUCACAAACGAGCGCCUUCUUUAAAAGAUAGGCUAGUUAAAGCCGAACUUACUACUCCUGUUAAAUUAGAUUCUAAAAGAAAUGGUAAUUUUCCAUGCCACAACUGUGUAUGUUGUAAUUCAAUGAUAAAAG